rnacentral:misc_RNA from 1 species
UCCCCAUUAACUGGGGCAGUUUCCUGUGAAAAAUACAACACAGGAUAGGGGUUGCGCUCGUUAACCGACUGAACGGGACACCUCACGGCACGAGCUGACGACAACCGUGCAGCACCUGUCAUCUGGCUCCUUGCGGCACUCCCCUGUUUCCAGGGAAUUCCAGAGAUGUCAAACCUUGGUAAGGUUCUUCGCUUGUUGACGAAUUAAACCACACGCUCCACCGCUUGUGCAGGUCCCCGUCAAUUCCUUUGAGUUUUAAGCUUGCGCUCGUACUCCCCAGGCGGCCAACUUAACGCGUUAGCUUCGGUCCAAAGGAGGGUCGAUACUCCCCAAGACCUAGUUGGCAUCGUUUACGGCGUGGACUAC